GAUGAACGCUGGCGGCGUGCCUAAUACAUGCAAGUCGAACGAAACUUCUUUAUCACCGAGUGCUUGCACUCACCGAUAAAGAGUUGAGUGGCUAACGGGUGAGUAACACGUGGGCAACCUGCCCAAAAGAGGGUGAUAACACUUUGAAACAUGUGCUAAUACCGCAUAACCAUAGUUACCGCAUGGUAACUAUGUAAAAGGUGGCUAUACUACCGCUUUUGGAUGGGCCCGCGGCGCAUUAGCUAGUUGGUAGGGUAAAGGCUUACCAAGGCAAUGAUGCGUAGCCGAAAUGAGAGGGUGAUCGGCCACAUUGGGACUGAGACACGGCCCAAACUCCUACGGGAGGCAGCAGUAGGGAAUAUUCCACAAUGGGCGAAAGCAUGAUGGAGCAACGCCGCGUGGGUGAAGAAGGUCUUCGGAUCGUAAAACCCUGUUGUUAGAGAAGAAAGUGCGUGAGAGUAACUGUUCACGUUUCGACGGUAUCUAACCAGAAAGCCACGGCUAACUACGUG
rnacentral:rRNA from 1 species